GGCGGGUGCUAACGUCCGUCGUGAAGAGGGAAACAACCCAGACCGCCAGCUAAGGUCCCAAAGUCAUGGUUAAGUGGGAAACGAUGUGGGAAGGCCCAGACAGCCAGGAUGUUGGCUUAGAAGCAGCCAUCAUUUAAAGAAAGCGUAAUAGCUCACUGGUCGAGUCGGCCUGCGCGGAAGAUGUAACGGGGCUAAACCAUGCACCGAAGCUGCGGCAGCGACACUAUGUGUUGUUGGGUAGGGGAGCGUUCUGUAAGCCUGUGAAGGUGGCCUGUGAGGGUUGCUGGAGGUAUCAGAAGUGCGAAUGCUGACAUAAGUAACGAUAAAGCGGGUGAAAAGCCCGCUCGCCGGAAGACCAAGGGUUCCUGUCCAACGUUAAUCGGGGCAGGGUGAGUCGACCCCUAAGGCGAGGCCGAAAGGCGUAGUCGAUGGGAAACAGGUUAAUAUUCCUGUACUUGGUGUUACUGCGAAGGGGGGACGGAGAAGGCUAUGUUGGCCGGGCGACGGUUGUCCCGGUUUAAGCGUGUAGGCUGGUUUUCCAGGCAAAUCCGGAAAACCAAGGCUGAGGCGUGAUGACGAGGCACUACGGUGCUGAAGCGACAAAUGCCCUGCUUCCAGGAAAAGCCUCUAAGCAUCAGGUAACAUCAAAUCGUACCCCAAACCGACACAGGUGGUCAGGUAGAGAAUACCAAGGCGCUUGAGAGAACUCGGGUGAAGGAACUAGGCAAAAUGGUGCCGUAACUUCGGGAGAAGGCACGCUGAUAUGUAGGUGAAGCGACUUGCUCGUGGAGCUGAAAUCAGUCGAAGAUACCAGCUGGCUGCAACUGUUUAUUAAAAACACAGCACUGUGCAAACACGAAAGUGGACGUAUACGGUGUGACGCCUGCCCGGUGCCGGAAGGUUAAUUGAUGGGGUUAGCGGUAACGCGAAGCUCUUGAUCGAAGCCCCGGUAAACGGCGGCCGUAACUAUAACGGUCCUAAGGUAGCGAAAUUCCUUGUCGGGUAAGUUCCGACCUGCACGAAUGGCGUAAUGAUGGCCAGGCUGUCUCCACCCGAGACUCAGUGAAAUUGAACUCGCUGUGAAGAUGCAGUGUACCCGCGGCAAGACGGAAAGACCCCGUGAACCUUUACUAUAGCUUGACACUGAACAUUGAGCCUUGAUGUGUAGGAUAGGUGGGAGGCUUUGAAGUGUGGACGCCAGUCUGCAUGGAGCCGACCUUGAAAUACCACCCUUUAAUGUUUGAUGUUCUAACGUUGGCCCGUAAUCCGGGUUGCGGACAGUGUCUGGUGGGUAGUUUGACUGGGGCGGUCUCCUCCUAAAGAGUAACGGAGGAGCACGAAGGUUGGCUAAUCCUGGUCGGACAUCAGGAGGUUAGUGCAAUGGCAUAAGCCAGCUUGACUGCGAGCGUGACGGCGCGAGCAGGUGCGAAAGCAGGUCAUAGUGAUCCGGUGGUUCUGAAUGGAAGGGCCAUCGCUCAACGGAUAAAAGGUACUCCGGGGAUAACAGGCUGAUACCGCCCAAGAGUUCAUAUCGACGGCGGUGUUUGGCACCUCGAUGUCGGCUCAUCACAUCCUGGGGCUGAAGUAGGUCCCAAGGGUAUGGCUGUUCGCCAUUUAAAGUGGUACGCGAGCUGGGUUUAGAACGUCGUGAGACAGUUCGGUCCCUAUCUGCCGUGGGCGCUGGAGAACUGAGGGGGGCUGCUCCUAGUACGAGAGGACCGGAGUGGACGCAUCACUGGUGUUCGGGUUGUCAUGCCAAUGGCACUGCCCGGUAGCUAAAUGCGGAAGAGAUAAGUGCUGAAAGCAUCUAAGCACGAAACUUGCCCCGAGAUGAGUUCUCCCUGAGACUUAGAGUCUCCUGAAGGAACGUUGAAGACGACGACGUUGAUAGGCCGGGUGUGUAAGCGCAGCGAUGCGUUGAGCUAACCGGUACUAAUGAACCGUGAGGCUUAACCUU
rnacentral:rRNA from 1 species